GAGAUGGCUGGAGGACGCUUCAUAGGACUUGAAGGAACAGUCAAUGUACCUGAGGAGGAGGGUGAUGCAAAACAAGAGCUCCGUAGAAGACUCUGUCAGGCUGAGGACAGAUACAGGUCACAGAAGAAACUCCAUGACUACAUGUUGGAGGAUGGAGAAGAAAUUCACCAUCAGCUAACGGAGUUAGAAGCAGACAAUAUGUACCGGACCAGAAAAGUGAACGAGUUGACACGGGUGGUAGAAAAUCACCGGGAGAAGCGUUGUUUCAUUUACAUUAAGCAACUGGUAAGUGACACACCUACAUUUCUUAUUUUGUUCAUUUUACUGAGGUGGGGGUAUAAAACAUUAGAGAAUG